UUAAGUUGUUUGGUUCACGUUUUAAGAUUUGUGUUAAAUGAUUGUAUUUUAUUUCGUGUCAAAUAAUUUUUUGUCGAAAGGUAUCGCGAGAUUUGUGUACAUGUGUGAGGCUGCGAGACUUAAGUAACCAUAGAAGAAGCAGAAGCUGGUGCCAGAGCUAUGUGUAGCAGCCUCGUGUCCUGUCGUUGUCAAGGUAUUUUGUAUUUAUGUUUGUAAUGUUUUGUGAAUUUAUUGGUUAUGGUGUUUUAAUUACUUAAUAUUUUGGUUUAGAGUGUACAACGACGAAUCAUUCUGUUAAAGACCUCCGAAGUGGCAGGCGGCCACGAGUUUUCACGGCAAAAAUUAAAGAGCCCGUCUUAAGAAAGCCGUGCCAGAGUUGUCACUUUGGAGCUACAGUGAAAACUCGCCCAGCCAGCGCCGGCAAGAAGCUCGUUAAAAAGACGGCAGCUGCAGUGAGUGACGGUACCGUGGUGUAACACAAGAGGGCGCCAUUUGACAAGCUCACCGUUCACAAGAAGUCAAGCACAGCAGCAACAACCUUGUACAACUGAAGUAAGGUGGAAAUUAAGAAAGGACAGUGUUAAGAGCAAAAUAAGAGUGGUUAAAGUGAAGUUUAAAGCCACAAUAAGUUUCUAUAACAUUUGUCAAAAGGUUACUUAUUUUCUACUGAACUUCGAAGUGAUGUGUUGUUGUUAAGAAAAGAGUGUUGUGUAUUUAUCUUGAGGUCAAAUUAAGUGUGAAGUUAACAAAGUUCUUUAAGUUGAAAUACAUCUGUAUUAAGAGUGAAGCUCAUUAUAGGUACAGUAAUAUCAAAGUAAUAUUCAAGUCACAUAAGUUAGAAUUUGUAAGGAGUGUUUUGCAAUUUAAAUAGAGCAUUGAGUGACAUUUAACCAGACUUAUAAGAUGACUGACAAAGAUCAUAAAGAGCUCUAUGCUGUAUCAUGUACUGAAGUGGAGGAAAAUGAUACUGAGCAAAUCUCAGAACCACAGACUGUUCGAAGAGGUGAAAGAGUUAGAACAUUAACUGAAAAAGGUAAAGAGCUUCAAGAGGAGAAACUUAAAACGCUUCAACACAGAUAUGCAGUUGGUUUUGAAAAAUGGAGAUAUGAAGCAAGACUGAGCAAAGUAAUACUAAGAAAAGAAGCUUCAGACAGUGAAUUAAAGGAGCUGAUUAACAAUGUAAACAUCACCUGCAGAGAUAUGCAAACCAUUUAUGAAGAAAUACGACAAAUACAAACUCCUGAUGCAGAUGCAAGGCGCAAAGUAGAUGCAUGUACAUCACUUUCUGCAUUCAUUGUCAGAAGAGCUGAGAAACAACUGCAAGGAGACUUUGCAGAAGGUGACGAAGAGCCAUGGCCAGAUUUUGGGUCAUGCUUAGGAUCUGAAAGUACGACAUCAAGGUCAAAAUCCAGAAGGUCUAAAAGUAGCUCAGAAAGCUCACAAACAACCAAGAGACUGGAAGCAGAGGCUGAGGCAGCUGCAUCACAAGAAAUAUUAGCAGUUAUGGAAGAGCAAGAAAAGGAAACAAUUGAGUUACAAAAACUGGAACGUGAAAAUUUGGAAAAGCAGCAAGCAAUGGAAGAGCAGCGAAGAAAGAUUAAACGCUUGGAAGAAGUUAAAAAAUUUAAUGCUGCAAAAGCACGAGCAAAGGUUUAUGAUGAAGCUGAAAGUAUUUCUGCAAGUCAGAGUUCAUCACAGAGCAUUAAAGCAGAAAGUGAAAUCCAAGCAAUCCCUGUCAGAGCACACAGUUCUUCUCCAGCUCUAAAUGCUACUCAGUUCCAUAAUGCUACAAUUGUUGGAUCUGUGCCACAUAUUCCUACAGUAAUAAACCAAACUCAACAAAGUCCUGGUGAACAACCUAAGGCCAUCAUAAGCCAAACACUUAAAGCAUCAAGUCCACCAUUCACCCCUCAAGCCACACAGGUUCCCUCUGUUGCAGCUCAACAACAGUCAAAUUACGAGCUAGUUGGAAUACUAGCAGAAGCAAUAAGUGCUAAUCGUCUUCCAACUCCUGAACCGACAUUGUUCACUGGUGAUCCUUUAAAGUUCAAAGAUUGGCAGUUGUCAUUUGAAACCCUGAUAGAAAGGAAAAACAUUCCAAAGAAUGAGAGACUCUAUUAUCUCAGAAAGUAUCUUGGUGGAACCGCGAAGAGAUCAGUGGAAGGUUUUCUUCUAGUGGGGACAGAUGAAGCAUAUGACUCAGCUUGGAAAGUGCUGGAAAAACGUUUUGGAGAUCUAUUCACCAUAGGAAAAUGCUUCAGAGAUAAGCUUCACAGUUGGCCUAAAAUAAACCCUAAGGAUGGAAGUGAGUUGAGAGAAUUUGCUGACUUCCUGAAGAAUUGUGAAGCUGCAAUGUUGCACAUAAGGUCAUUGGAGGUUCUCAAUGAUUGUAUGGAAAUCCAGAAACUCUUGCUAAAACUUCCAGAUUGGUUGACCACAAGAUGGAACCGGACAGCCAUGAAAAUAAGAAGAGCUAGUGAUGGAGAAUAUCCAUCUUUUCAUGUGUUUGCUGAUUUUGUAUCCACUGAAGCAGACUUAGCAUGUGAUCCCAUAGCAUCAAUGCAAGCUCUUAAAGGUUUGGAAAUAAGUAAACCCAAACAAUUACGCAACCAAGUCAUCCAAGCAAAAACACUAACAACAAACUCAAAUCACACAAAUACUGUAACCUGUCUUUUCUGCAAAAGAAAUGGUCACCCACUUGAUAAAUGUUUCAAAUUUAAAGAAACCCCACUCCAAGACCGUAUCAAGUUUGCACAAGCGGAAAGGCUGUGUUUUGGAUGUUUAAAGAGAGGACAUCAUUCCAAGAAGUGUGACAAAAGGAGCACAUGUGAAAAAUGUCAAAAGAGACAUCCAACAUGUCUGCACGAUGACACAUUCAUUGAGCGUAAAAAGGUAAUACCUGCAGUGACUGAAAAGUCUCAAGACAAGGACGAAGCUGACGCUAAAGAAGAAGACAAACCAACGGUUGCGAUCUCUAACAGAGUAACUCAAGCAACUUCAAGCACAUUGACAUCCUCUAUACUACCUGUAUGGGUUUCAUCAAAGAAUGACCCAGACAGAGAGGUUUUAGUUUAUGCACUCCUUGAUUCACAGAGUGAUACAUCCUUCAUUUUGAAUGAAGUAGCCCAAGAUCUUGACACAAAUAAAAGUAAAGUUAAUCUGCGCUUGUCAACUAUAUCUGCCAAGUCAACAGUUAUACCAUGUGACAAGCUGGUAAACCUUCAAGUUAGAGGAUAUAAGGACGAAAAGAGAAUUACAUUGCCACCAGUCUAUACAAGAGAGUUUAUCCCGGUCAACAGAUCACAUAUCCCAACGUCUGAAACCGCCUUAAAGUGGCCUCAUCUGGAAAAGCUGGCAGAUAAGUUACCUCCACUGCUUGAAUGCGAAGUUGGUCUACUUAUCGGCUAUAACUGUCAACAAGCCCUCCUACCACGUGAAGUUCUUGCAGGCAAAGAGAACCAACCUUACGCACAGUUAACUGAUCUCGGCUGGAGUAUAGUUGGUUGUUCGUCUCAAGUUCAAAAUCACAAUGAUAUCAUCGGUACAAGUCACAGAAUCAUUGUUCGUGAAGUAUUUCCUGUUUCACAACCAGCAGUUGAACUCAAGCAACAAGUGCAUUUUGUAUGCAGAACUCAAAUAAAGGAAGUCAGUCCAACUGAUGUGAUUAAGGCUUUGGAAUCCGAUUUCUCUGAACAUGCAACAGAUGACAAUCCAGUUUCACAGGACGACAUUUUGUUCAUGUCAAAGGUGACCAAAGGCAUAAAACAGAAGAAAGAUGGUCAUUACGAACUUCCGUUACCAUUCAAAACAGACAAUCCAAAUCUCCCAAAUAACAAGCAAAGUGCUGAACACAGAUUGUCUUCAUUGGAACGUCGACUCAAAAGGGAUGAGAAAUACUAUAAAGAUUAUGUUAAGUUCAUGAAUGAUAUUGUAACUCGCGGAGAUGCAGAAAAGGUGCCAGAACAAGAGCUGGACAACAAGACAGCAUGGUACAUCCCGCACCAUGGGGUUUACCACCCCCACAAACCUGAGAAAAUACGUGUGGUUUUUGAUUGUUCUGCAUGCUUCCAGGGAACAUCUCUAAACGAUCAUCUUUUGACUGGACCGGAUCUCACCAACACACUGGUCGGAGUGUUAUGCCGAUUUAGAAAGGGCCCCGUCGCCAUUAUGUGUGAUGUGGAAAGAAUGUUCCACCAAUUCCACGUCAUUAAGGAACAUCAAGAUUAUUUAAGAUUUCUUUGGUGGGACAAAGGUGAUUUGAACUCCGAACCUUCAGUUUACAGGAUGAAAGUACAUCUUUUUGGAGCAGCCUCAUCUCCUGGAUGUUGUAAUUUUGGACUCAAACACAUUGCAUCGCAAGGUAAAAACAAGUUCAGCAAAGAGACUGUUGAGUUCAUCCAAAGAGGUUUUUAUGUCGAUGAUGGACUUGCUAGUGUAACAUCAACAGCCAAAGCUAUACAGCUGGUCAAAGAGUCAAGGGAACUUUGCAAAACAGGCAAACUACAUCUGCAUAAAUUUGUAUCAAACAAUAAAGAAGUGCUUGCAACAAUUCCCCAAGAAGAACAAGCUCAGUCCAAAGAUCAGAACAUGGCUUUUGGAGAACUCCACAUUGAACGUGCACUUGGAGUACAAUGGUGCGUAGAAGCAGACGAAUUCCAGUUCAGAGUUCAAGUUAAAGAGCACCCAUUGACUAGAAGAGGGGUACUCUCGACUGUCGCUUCCAUCUAUGACCCUCUUGGGUUCGUCGCCCCAUUCACAUUGAUUGGAAAGCAAAUACUCCAAACAUUAUGUAAAAACAAGGUUAACUGGGAUGAUGAUCUUCCAGACCACAUUCUACCACGAUGGGAAGCAUGGUUGAGAGACCUGCCUAAGCUGGCAGCUCUGAAGAUUCCACGAAGCUACUCACAAGACAUCAACAUCAUACAGUAUGAAUUGCAUAACUUCUCGGAUGCGAGCCUCGACGGUUAUGGCGCAUGUUCAUACCUUAGAGCAAUAAGCAAGGAAGGACAGAUAAGCUGUUCACUCGUCAUGGGAAAAGCAAGAGUUACACCCAUCAAACAAAUGACCAUCCCAAGACUUGAACUGUCGUCGGCUGUAACUUCAGUCCGCAACGCGGAUGUAAUCAAACAAGAACUGGAAAUUGAAAAUCUACUAGAAUAUUAUUGGACAGAUUCACAAGUCGUACUGGCAUAUAUAAGCAAUGACGCUAAAAGAUUUCACACAUUCGUUGCCAAUCGGAUUCAACGAAUAAGACACAGUACGAGUCCUGACAAAUGGCAGCAUGUCUGCUCAGAAGAAAAUCCGGCUGAUCAGGCCUCGAGGGGUCUAACCGCUGCACAACUGAAAGAAUCAAACUGGUUGAAGGGUCCAGAUUUCCUUUGGAGAAAGAAUCUUCCAAUCAAAAGGGAAAUGGUGGGAGAAGUUGAAGAGACAGAUCCUGAACUUCGUGCAGGUCAUGCACACACCGUGCAGUCAAAAGAAGUGAACCCUGUUCUAGAGCGUCUAAAGAAGUUCUCUGAUUGGUCGAGAGCUGUAAAGGCUAUUGCCAGACUCAAACGAUGCAUAAAAGAGUUUAAAGGUGUUCAAGAAAGAACAAACAAAGUAACAGAUCUUGAAGAAAGAAGAGACACAGAAGUGUUCAUUAUCAAGCUAGUGCAAAGAGAAGCUUUCACUGAGGAAAUACAGAAAAUCAGAUCACAGAAGGAAAAUUCUCUGCACAAGCAUAACAGACUAAAGCAGCUAAAUGCUUUCUUGGACAAAUCCGAUGUUCUCAGGGUGGGAGGAAGAUUGUCUCAAUCAGCCUUGCAUCAUCAUGUCAAACAUCCUGCAAUUCUUCCCAAGGAGUCCCAUGUAUCAACCCUCAUCGUCAAACACUAUCAUGAACGUGUACAUCACCAAGGAAGAGGCAUGACCAUAAAUGAAUUGCGUGCAAAUGGCAUAUGGAUUCUAGGAUGUGGAAGUAUGGUCUCUAAGCACAUUUACCACUGUGUUAAAUGUAGGAGAUAUAGAAAGGCCACAAAUGUCCAACAGAUGGCAGAGUUACCAGAAGUAAGAACAAAAACAGCACCUCCUUUUACAUAUUGUGGUGUUGACUGUUUUGGCCCAUUCAUAGUAAAGGAAGGUAGAAAGGAAGUCAAAAGAUAUGGAUUAUUGUUCACCUGCUUAUGUUCACGAGCUGUGCAUAUUGAAACACUUGAUGACUUAUCAACUGAUGCUUUCAUGAGCGCUCUUCGGGUUCUGAUCGCCAUAAGAGGUCCUGUUCGACAAUUAAGAUGUGACCAAGGGACGAAUUUUGUGGGAGCCAGAAGAGAGUUUUUGGAGCUAAUGAAGGAUAUGGACCAAGAACCACAAAGAGCUAUUGGUUGCGAGUUUGUGAUGAACGUUCCAUCAGCUAGCCACAUGGGAGGCAUCUGGGAACGCCAAAUUCGGACAGUACGAAGCGUACUAACAGCAAUGUUAGAUAAAUUCUCAAACAGACUUGAUACAACUAGUCUAAGAACACUUCUUUACGAGACAAUGGCCAUCAUUAACAGCAGACCCUUAAGUAUAGAGUAUCUUAAUGAUCCCUUGGGUCCAGAGCCAUUAACUCCCAAUCACAUAUUAACGAUGAAGUCUUCAGUUAUUCUCCCCCCUCCAGGACAGUUUUGCAGAGAGGAUUUGUACUUGAACAAAAGAUGGAGAAGAGUACAAUUUCUAGCAAACGAGUUUUGGCAAAGAUGGAAACGAGAAUAUCUGCUAAAUCUCCAACAGCGACAGAAAUGGCAGAAAGUUUCACGGAACCUGCACAUUAAUGACAUUGUGAUCCUACAAGAUGACAAUGCUCCAAGAUGUAAAUGGAAACUAGCUCUAGUUGUAGAGACUCUAGAAAGCCCAGACGGCAAGGUUCGAAAGGUGAAACUAAAGACAAGUGAAACAACAUUUGACAAAGGAAAACCACUGACAAGGUUGAUAUAUUUAGAAAGACCUAUUCACAAGGUAGUGACAUUACUUGAGACUAAUACAGAGUAAAACAGACUCUACUCUUGACACUCAUUGGAAAAUCACAUUGAGAACCAAUUAGUGAUUUUGGUGGGAGUGUAAGUGUCAAUAAAAUAGUUUAUUUCUUGAAAAAAUGUAUGUUUAUUUCUGAAAGAUAGAAUAAUGUAUUUUAAGUUGUUUGGUUCACGUUUUAAGAUUUGUGUUAAAUGAUUGUAUUUUAUUUCGUGUCAAAUAAUUUUUUGUCGAAAGGUAUCGCGAGAUUUGUGUACAUGUGUGAGGCUGCGAGACUUAAGUAACCAUAGAAGAAGCAGAAGCUGGUGCCAGAGCUAUGUGUAGCAGCCUCGUGUCCUGUCGUUGUCAAGGUAUUUUGUAUUUAUGUUUGUAAUGUUUUGUGAAUUUAUUGGUUAUGGUGUUUUAAUUACUUAAUAUUUUGGUUUAGAGUGUACAACGACGAAUCAUUCUGUUAAAGACCUCCGAAGUGGCAGGCGGCCACGAGUUUUCACGGCAAAAAUUAAAGAGCCCGUCUUAAGAAAGCCGUGCCAGAGUUGUCACUUUGGAGCUACA